UUAAUAGAAGCUAAUAUAAGCAUCUUAUUGUUAUUAAGGAAAUUGAAUAUUCUUAUUUCUAUUAAG
rnacentral:tRNA from 1 species